AAGAAUAUGAGACCUGUGCCAACUGGUCGAUUAUGUAUAAAAUUAUGUCUGGUCUGCAAAAAAGUUGCUUGUCGUGUGAACACGUCCGUUGGUUUCAACGCACUUCCUUGAUCGCCACGAUCAAAUGCCGUAGGUCUCAUAUAUUUUCUUGAAACCCAUCAGUGGCAAUUGAUCAACAGUGCGUAUAGGUCCUAAAGGCAUUAAAAUUUAACAGAGAGUUUGUGGGAAAACGAGAAAAUAUUUGACUAUUAUCAGAUAACAGAGAAAUUUCAACUUUUGCACGAGCUGAGAGAAGCGAAGGCGAGGGCGAGGCUAACGAGAAUGCGACUGACAACCCAAGAGUCGAAGAUAAUGAAGAGAGAGAAAGGAGGACAAGCGUUGGAAGCAAUAAUAUCGAAGAAGGAGACGCGAGAGAAAGCAUCGCGGAUAAAGGAACCAAACGAGAAGAGGAGAAGCUUAAAAGUAGCGACGCUGGAAAGAAACGAAAAGUUUCGUUUGGCGAGCGUUCAACGUCAGAUAGCAGCCUCGAAGAUGGAAGAAAGGAUGAGAAAGAAGAUCACGAUGGCGAUGACAAUAAAAGCUGUAUAAGAAUCGAAAAUUUAUGGCUAAGGCAGUUUAUUUAUAAUUUGUGCGUUCAUUUCGUCGCAUAUAUAGCCUGCAUCCUGAUCGUGACUCUGACUCUUGUGAUUGGAUAUUUUCUAAACGCAUCGAUGUAAGCGAUUACGACAAGUAGCUACAGUAGUUGAACAGAAAGAAAAACCCGAAUCUUGGAAACAGCGGAAUUGAAUGUUCGAUGGUCAUCAUAGAGCGGUGAAGAAUCUAAGCUAUACCGCCACGUUUGAUUAUGCUGAAAGCAUGCGUCUGUCCGUGUUCCAUGCACGGACCUUCUCGUUCACAUAUUCGGUUGGUCCGUGGUCUCUAAAUGACUUUAAAAACAGGUUCUCUCGACCUGAUCACUGCUAUCGAUUCGAAUGCCGAAUUGAAACUGGACAACGACUUGAUGUAUCGAUUUCAUUGCAUGUCCCAGUUCCGUCGAACCUGGCACGUUCAGAUAAGGACACUAGGAGUCAGCAGGGUAGCUUCUUCCCCUCUGUGACUUACUGACUUGAUUUAGGCUUGAUGUAAACGAGCAAUACGAUGCUAUUGAGACUUUGCAAGAUCUGCAUUUUUGUUACUAGGUAGAACAAAUAUGUACCUUUAACUUUUAAUGGGAAAUAAAUAUUAACGACAGCGUUAUGUAUAAUGAUAUUUAAAAUGAAAGUGUAAGACUUGGAAGAUUUAUGUUUCUAAUGACAGGACUGUGGAUGGUUGUACGCUCAUGAUAACGCUAUGUGUAAAUAAUACAAUAUAUCGUUAUUAGCGUUUCUUAAUAUUUGUUAAUGUUCCUUAAUGUUUUUUAAUAAUUCAAAUUUACAUUGUGUUAAAUUUAUGAAAAGGUGGUAAUAUUUCUUCUAAUUAUUAUUAACGUAUCGUUUAUUCGUGUUUGUAUCCUUUACUGAGAUUUAAAUAUUGUUACUAAAAAUCGACUAUAAUGCUACUUAUGAAUAGUAAUGUGAAUAAAGCUAUAAAUCUCUCGUUUAGUAUACAUAUUUAAUAUACCUAUGAUAUGAAUACGGCUUGUAAACGAAUUGUAGAAAAUAGAAUUUUAUCCUUGGAUUACAUCUUUAGAAAGACAUAUAUAUUCAUCGUAUUGGAAAUUCCCAUUUAUCACAGUGAAAUCAUACAUAUUCAUAUCCAUUGCAUCAGUAGAUGCAUAAAAAUGUGACGUCGUCACAUUUUUGACCGAUCACGAGUAAACUCGUGUUUCUCUGCGCAAACGUUUGUUCAUUUCUCCAUAAAAUAACUGGUGGAACGCGUUAGUUCUUAUACGAAAUAGUCGGUCAACGUAGACCAAUUUACCAAAUGUCCAGCUGGACAAAUUGUAAAAUAAAAAUUAAAUAAUAAAAACAAAAAAAAAAAAAAACGUGGACCUGGCACCGAGUCAACGAUCGUGAUCAUGGCGCGUAUUCGGAUGGAAUCAAUGCACCUGGCUAAAGCAAUCGAACGAACAGACUCUUCAUAGUCUUUGUAGAUUCUUCAAUGCGACCUUGACACGCUUGC